rnacentral:rRNA from 1 species
UACGUAGGGUGCAAGCGUUAAUCGGAAUUACUGGGCGUAAAGCGUGCGCAGGCGGUUAUACAAGACAGAUGUGAAAUCCCCGGGCUCAACCUGGGAAUUGCAUUUGUGACUGUAUGGCUAGAGUGUGUCAGAGGGGGGUAGAAUUCCACGUGUAGCAGUGAAAUGCGUAGAGAUGUGGAGGAAUACCGAUGGCGAAGGCAGCCCCCUGGGAUGAUACUGACGCUCAUGCACGAAAGCGUGGGGAGCAAACAGG